CAUUUAACAAUGUGAGACAUGACUUUUGUGGUUAUUUGUAAUAUUCUGUAUGUGUCUGGAGUACUUUGAUGCCUUGGAUUGGAAGCUAACUUAAAAGAUGAACUUUUGAGGGUGUGUUUUCUAUUGUGUGGGGCUUUUGUCGAAAUUAGGAUUCCGAAACACGUUUUUCUACGGUGGGUUCAUUCGACAGCGAUUUACUUUCUUAGAAGUUGCGAGACGGUAUGUUUUUGAUUGCAAUUAUUGGAAGAUGACAGAUCCAUCUUUAAAAUGAUACCAGGUUCGGAAAAAUUGAUACGUCGGAAAGGCAAGAAAAAUGCUGUGAAAGUUGUCAGUUUUAUAAUGGGACCCUAUGGGAAUCGGAAUUAGUGUAAUAUAACCUUUAAAAAGCACAUUUACUGCAAUGUCAAGGUCACAUGGAUUCGUCUGCAAGCGAGACAAGUAGAAAAUGAAUUUUAAUGAAUGUUUUGAUGAUUUGGGUGCUAAAAUAGAUGAGAGGUGUCAAUAUUUUGGUCCAAAUGGAUGUUUUAGGUGGUUUUAGACGGUUCCGGAUGGGUGGGGGACCUGGUAUGGACAAGUAAGGGUAACAUUUCCAACAAAUCUUAAAUGUAAAUAUUAUUAUGUCCAUAGAUUGAAGUUUCAGGUGGAGAGCAAGAUGAAAAAUAUGCAAAAUUACAUGCAUGCAACCCAUUUAUGCCAUUUUUCUCUUUGUUUGUAGGCCUGACCGUUUGUCCUUGAGCCGUAGAUGGUCAACAAUCCGCUAGCUGUCUUGCUCUGACUGGUGCACUGGACAUGAUUUCAAUAGUCAGCCAGACCAUGAUUGAGCUUAAGGAUUGUGCUGCGGAUGCAGCCUGUGCAGUUCCGGGAGAAAGUCACUGUCUCGGGCAAUGCGGUCUGGUAUCAGGUCUGGAUGAUCCUUGCCUGACUGCGGGUUUGUGUACACCUCAAUCCGACUCUGUGUCCUGAACAGAGGCCGCAGUGGUGCAGCGCUUGUGGACGAUCCAUCAACAUCCUGAAAGGUCAACACUACACCAAGCUGGGAAAAUUGAUCCUGAUAGUCAUCCCCAGGUAGUGGAAUGAAUGUUCACUGAACUACAGAGGAAUCACACCCAAAUGACUUUCCUGCCACGACAUUAGUUUGGCCACUCUCGUAGGAAUUCCUUAGCAAACAUGCUCUUUUGCAUGGUGACUGUGGACAUUUUUGCAAAACUUACGCUUUCAACACUGGAUUUUAAAGAGAAUACUUAAUAAAAUGUCGCUAACAGGACUUAUUUAUAUGAGAGAGACUAUCUGGAUGCGCAUUAAGUGUCACUUUGUGUCGUAAGCUGUUGAAGGAGCGAUUUGCGCCUUUUUAAGUGUUAAAUUUGGGUAGCCGGCUUG